AAAUAGAUCUUGCCCUGAGCAUCCAUCAGAUUAAGACAAGAUUCAUGUUUUUAGCUGCUUCCACUGAUCAGAAAACAUAGGAGAUGUGAGGUUCCCUUGCUGAACACAGCGUGCCUGGCUUGAAAUUUACAGUUCUUUGUGGCUGAAAAAGGCAAAGAUGGACAGUGACAUGGAACAGGCAUUGCAGACACCGGUUACUUGCCAGUAGUGCUCGGUAUACCAAACACUCAUGCAAAGGACACACAGGGAUUUUGAAGAUGCUGCACAUUCUGUAACAAUUGACUCCCCACAGACAUUUCUGACACUGUUUUCUAUUGAAGGCCAAAGUUCCUCAUUUCAGCCUAACUUCUGGUUCUGUGAAGAAGCGGGUUAUUGGACAUGUUUCCUACUGCCUCAAGUGGAAGCAGAGAUGUUCAAUACGUGCUAUCUGAGACCCUUGCAGGAGGAUGGCCCCAAUGGGAACAUUUUCACCUUCUCGUUGGCUGAACAAGAGUAAAUGGCAAACUAAAUACGAUCUAACAGUGUGACCUUAAUUUACUGAAUUCACACCCUGUUUUGUGUUCUUCACUUUUUUCAAGAACAGAAAACGUAAACUUCUCUGCAUAGGAAUACUAAAUUUCAAAAUUUUGUAACUAAACCUUUGUCACAAUGCAGUCCAAAGAGUAAAACCAAGACAGGUAACUAAUUUAUAUUGAUCAAGCUAUAGGGAUUGUUGAAAUCUGCACAUUGUAUUGCUAUUUAAGUAACUAAAACUUCUCUUUUACUGCUUGUGAGUAAAAAUAACAAAAAAUGCAGCAAAGCAAAAUCUUACAGCUAUGCAACUUUUUUUUUUUUUAAUAGGAAAAAAAAAAAAAAAAGAAUUACCAAUUUUAAGUGCUGCCAGUUAAGGUAAUUUGUUUAACGGGUAUUUUUUUAAAAAUGUUUCAGGUAAUUAUUUUAUUGUACUACUCUCAUCUCCAGGCUGCCUCCUGAGAUGUAAAUGAAUAACUGCAAAUGUGGGCACAGCAAGAGGUUUUUAUAGGCAUGGGUGAGAUGACAUCGAGGUGGGAUUUGUGUUUAAUUUUCAAAACACACACAAGUUUUUGUUUCCUUCUUUUAAUGUUUUUUUUUGAUGGCAGGAUCUGUAGUACUUUGUAUCUAAAUCCUUGGUCUCUCAUAUGGAGAUCAGCAUUU